UGAAGCUGGAUUCGCUAGUAAUCGCGCAUCAGCCAUGGCGCGGUGAAUACGUUCCCGGGCCUUGUACACACCGCCCGUCAAGCCAUGGAAGCCGGGGGUGCCUGAAGUGUGCAGCCGCAAGGAGCGCCCUAAGGUAAAACCGGUGACUGGGGCUAAGUCGUAACAAGGUAUC
rnacentral:rRNA from 1 species